rnacentral:rRNA from 1 species
UACGAAGGGGGCUAGCGUUGUUCGGAAUUACUGGGCGUAAAGCGCGCGCAGGCGGCUAUCCAAGUCAGUGGUGAAAGCCCGGAGCUCAACUCCGGAACUGCCAUUGAAACUGUUUAGCUUGAGGACGAGAGAGGUGAGUGGAAUUCCCAGUGUAGAGGUGAAAUUCGUAGAUAUUGGGAAGAACACCGGUGGCGAAGGCGGCUCACUGGCUCGUAUCUGACGCUCAGGCGCGAUAGCGUGGGGGAUCAAACAGG